UACGUAGGGUGCAAGCGUUGUCCGGAAUUAUUGGGCGUAAAGAGCUUGUAGGCGGUUUGUCGCGUCUGCUGUGAAAUUUCGGGGCUCAACCCCGAACUUGCAGUGGGUACGGGCAGACUAGAGUGUGGUAGGGGAGACUGGAAUUCCUGGUGUAGCGGUAGAAAUGCGCAGAUAUCAGGAGGAACACCGAUGGCGAAGGCAGGUCUCUGGGCCAUAACUGACGCUGAGAAGCGAAAGCAUGGGGAGCGAACAGG
rnacentral:rRNA from 1 species